UACAGAGACUGCAAGCGUUAUUCGGAUUCACUGGGCGUAAAGGGUGCGCAGGCGGCCGUGUGUGUGAGGCGUGAAAGCCCGGAGCUCAACUCCGGAAUUGCACCUCAAACUACACGGCUAGAGCAUUGGAGAGGGUAGCGGAAUUCACGGUGUAGCAGUGAAAUGCGUAGAUAUCGUGAGGAACACCAGAGGCGAAGGCGGCUACCUGGACAAUUGCUGACGCUCAGACACGAAAGCGUGGGGAGCAAAAGGG
rnacentral:rRNA from 1 species